GAAAUGCGAUAAGUAAUGUGAAUUUCAGAAUUCCGUGAAUCAUCGAAUCUUUGAACGCACAUUGCGCCCUCUGGCAUUCCGGGGGGCAUGCCUGUCCGAGCGUCAUUUCAACCAUCAAGCCCCGCGCUUGUGUUGGGGACCUGCGGCUGCCGCAGGCCCUGAAAACCAGUGGCGGGCUCGCUGUCACACCGAGCGUAGUAGAUUUCUCAUCUCGCUCAGGGCGUGCUGCGGGUUCCGGCCGUAAAAAAGCCUUAUUUUACCCAAGGUUGACCUCGGAUCAGGUAGGAAGACCCGCUGAACUUAAGC
rnacentral:misc_RNA from 1 species